GCCUGUCUUGCUUAGUUGGCAAAACACAAGGCUCUUAACCUUGUUGUCGUGGGUUCGAGCCCCACGAUGGGUG
rnacentral:tRNA from 1 species